rnacentral:tRNA from 2 species
UGCCUCGUCGCCAAGUGGUAAGGCAUCAGACUUUGACUCUGACAUGCGCAAGUUCGAAUCUUGCCGAGGCAACCA